CCUACGGGCGGCAGCAGUGGGGACUAUUGGACAAUGGCGGGAACCCUGAUCCAGCGACGCCGCGUGAGUGACGAAGUUUUCCGGUAUGUAACGCUCUAUCAGCAGGGAAGCAAGAAAUGACGGUCCCUCACUCCCAAGCCCCGGCUACCUACGUGCCAGCAGACGCUGCAAUACGUCGGGGGCAAUCGUUCUGCGGAUUUACUGGGUGUAAAGGGAGCGUAGACGGCGAUGCAAAGCUGAAGUGAAAUGCGGGGGCCCAACCUCCGGACUGCUUUGGAAACUGUAUGGCUGGAGAGCAGGAGAGGUAAGUGGAAUUCCUAGUGUAGCGGUGAAAUGCGUAGAUAUUAGGAGGAACACCAGUGGCGAAGGCGGCUUACUGGAGUGUAACUGACGUUGAGGCUCGAAAGCGUGGGGAGCGAACAGGAUUAGAUACCCCAGUAGUC
rnacentral:rRNA from 1 species